UACAGAGGAUGCAAGCGUUAUCCGGAAUGAUUGGGCGUAAAGCGUCUGUAGGUGGCUUUUUAAGUCCGCCGUCAAAUCCCAGGGCUCAACUCUGGACAGGCGGUGGAAACUACCAAGCUUGAGUACGGUAGGGGCAGAGGGAAUUUCCGGUGGAGCGGUGAAAUGCGUAGAGAUCGGAAGGAACAUCAGUGGCGAAGGCGACUUUCUGGACUGAUACUGACACUGAGGCACGAAAGCGUGGGGAGCAAACAGG
rnacentral:rRNA from 1 species